AGAUGGCCGGAAAGAUGCCAACAAACCAGGAGAGAAACAGUCACCAGCCAGAUGCCUUUUCAACACGCCAAGGACGACGACAGAGUCUGCAGAGGUCACAUGCUUGCAGUUUGGAGUAUGACCCCAUAAAGGAGGCAGAGGAGUUUAUUAGACAGAAAAAAGAC